GUUAGUAUCCUCCUCUUCCUUUUCCUUUCCCACUCAGAACUCCUGGUAGCCCCCUGCGGCCUCAUGAAGUCAGCAUUUCAGUUACAGAAGCCUAGGAGCGGCCAAGCGGGGCCACCCCCGAGCCCAGCAGCACCAGCCACUGCCGAUAGCUUUGAGUUCGCCUGCAGAUUUGGCUCCAGCAGGAAUGACCUGGAGACCUGUGAGCCAUUGCCACUGGAUGAGGGGAGUGUCCGCACUGACCAUGCACGUGGACACAUACGUCAAACGCACUGAUAUCCGGCAGAUGUUGAGCUCCACACAAGUUAUCACUGGGCUCCAGGCCUUCCUCUGGUUGGCUACCCACAGGGCGUGGGGUGGGAGUUGACAGCACCACUGGUGAGCUUUACAUAACAGCAGCUGAAAUAUAACCGAUCUGUAUAGGACAACACAUGCUGUCCCUUCCCUGACAAGAAACCUGAGCUAUGAGGAUCUGUAGAGACAAUAGCGGGGAGGGAAAGGGAGAGAUUGAGUCAUGGUGCCCGUUUGAGGUGAUGAGCUUUUACCUAUAGGUCAUGUUUUUUCGUAGAUUACCCUUGGUACCAAAAUGUUGUACUGCUAUGAUAUGGUGAGGCUCUGUCCUGCACAGGACGUUACCUAGGCGUCGACUGCACAUUCACAUGACAGAUGAAAGCGAAAGCAAUACUGGCCAGAGCAUUCAAGUCCAGAGAAGGUCAAACUAGUAAGAUCAUCAAUGUUAAGGUGAGUGACGUUGGAGAAUGAGAGAAUCCUCAUGGGGUCCUAACCUCUGGUCUCUGGCCAAUAUUCCACCAGGCCACAGGAUGAUGGGGCUUCUGCAGAGGGGUUACUUUAUUUCCAAAAGUGAACUAUAUAUUUUCACUUUCUAAUGACCCCUUAUGUUCACACAUUCUGUCCCCAUCUGACAAUAAUGGAGACGGUUUAACUUAUGGAAACGCCAAUUGAUGUGCCCACAGGUCCUUGAAAUGUUUGUAUGAUGCAGACCGGUCCACGAACAUCAAAAGGCAGGGGACUGUAGGUUACAGAGUCGGGCCCUGAGGAAAAUAAGCAUGAUAUGUGAGUCAGUGUAGGAAGAAGCCCACAUCUGAACCUGCAGAUUUCCCCUAUUAGUACAAGGGAGGCAGAUGCGUGUUUUCCCACACAUUCUCCAGGGCAGAAUUUCCACCCCCCCACAGCCCAGAGGAAGGGGUCGGCAUUCCUCCACCCCAGCCCCAGGCAUCCCUUGGGCAAAGGGAGCUGGGGCCUCACAUCUGGAAAGAGCACAGCUGGCCAAGGAGAGGAAACUAGAGAGCAGGAGAUACUGGAUAUGGUGAAAAUACAUGCUAUAAAAGCAAGACAAGGGCCCUCUUUCUAACAUUAAAUGCUGCUCCAAAGAAAAAAGAUGUUUUUGAAAAUGGGCAGGAGACAACUCAUGUCAGGAGAACUACAACGGGGGUAAUGAAACAACAGGCAAUUUCCCACAACUCCGAAGACUUAUAUGUCUCUAAAUGCUUUGGAACUGUUUUCUGGUUAUUUUCUGCAAAGGUCUUUCCCAUUAAUUUGCUUUGUCCGAUUUUUAUAUGUUAACUGUGGUCCCUAGAGGGCGACUGUCUCUCCCGUUCCUGAAAUCCCGUCUGAGUCUGAACCUGUCCACACACAAGCUCUGCUGACCUUAUGUCCCCAUGAACAUGCCGGCACACUGGCAGCCAUUUAGUAAGCCAUCAUAAUCUAAACGGAUGUUUUCUCUGUCACUGUUAACAACCCUCCGCGUCUUCGGUGUAGGAAUGAACACGUGACCCUCCCCUCUGGGUGUGCUUACCAUCACAUGUGGGUCUUUGCACAGCUCCAUUUGCUCAGUCAUCUCCAUGAAGAGCUAACUCUAGGAAGGAGCUUGUUAGCAGGAUGGGGACACCCCGGCCUGAAACCCUGACACUAAAUUCCUGAAGCUGGCCCACGGUUGGAGACCUGCCUGCAAGCAGCACAACGCUCUGGAUUUCAUGCAAGAGCAAAGAUGAACAUGUGAGUCGGCUGGCCUGGAUUGAUCGGGUUUUCUGAUAACAUCUUCUGGAGAUGAUCAGGAUGAACUGAGGCACUAGCUGCUUUAUCUAUGGAAAAUCGUUCUGCGCCUGAGCAGGACAAAUAUCACAGGUCCCUCUUCAUGUGGCAUGUUUUCGACAGGACUGGAGGAACUAGAAGCUAAACAGCAUCACCACUGCUGUUGACCAUUCUGGAUUGAUUAUGAAGAAAAUGGCAGCCAUGGGGCAGACUGUUCUAGAUAAAUAUGCCCCCCCCCCACAGCCAGAUUGAGAAAGAACAAAGUUCACAACAUCCCCAUCUACCCACAGGAUGGGGGAGGGCUGUCCACUGAGAGCGCUUGGAAAAUGUCUCUGUGAACAUGGACAGUCUUUAAAAAUACAUCCCAACAUUGUCCUUCAGUCCAUAUGAUUAUGUAAAUAUCUGAAAGUCACUUGG